UAAAUAAUGGCUUGGAAUUUAGCAGGUCAUGAAAAUGGAUGGAUGUGAUAGUAAAGGAAACAGAGGGUGAUACUGCUGUAUCAGCAAUGGUGUUGAUAUAGGUUGAAGAAAAAAAUGAGGAAGAUACUAAAAGGCGCAUAGAUGAGUAACACUGAU